UACGGAGGGGGCUAGCGUUGUUCGGAAUUACUGGGCGUAAAGCGCACGUAGGCGGUUUUGUAAGUUAGAGGUGAAAGCCUGGGGCUCAACCCCAGAAUAGCCUUUAAGACUGCAUCACUUGAACGUCGGAGAGGUGAGUGGAAUUCCGAGUGUAGAGGUGAAAUUCGUAGAUAUUCGGAAGAACACCAGUGGCGAAGGCGGCUCACUGGACGACUGUUGACGCUGAGGUGCGAAAGCGUGGGGAGAAACAGG
rnacentral:rRNA from 1 species